GUGCCAGCAGCCGCGGUAAUACGUAGGGUGCGAGCGUUGUCCGGAUUUAUUGGGCGUAAAGAGCUCGUAGGCGGUUUGUCGCGUCGUUCGUGAAAACUCCACGCUUAACGUGGAGCGUGCGGGCGAUACGGGCAGACUUGAGUUCGGUAGGGGAGACUGGAAUUCCUGGUGUAGCGGUGAAAUGCGCAGAUAUCAGGAGGAACACCGGUGGCGAAGGCGGGUCUCUGGGCCGAUACUGACGCUGAGGAGCGAAAGCGUGGGGAGCGAACAGGAUUAGAUACCCUGGUAGUCC
rnacentral:rRNA from 1 species